AUUAACAUUGAAGGUUGCUUGAAAUCAUUAGCUAAAUGUUUACUGGCAUUUAGACAACAAGGUAGAUACUGUCAUUUUGUACUAGUGCAAAAGUAUGAUGCACUUAAAUCUUGAGUAAUUUUUAUAGUUGAUGUAGUCAUAUUUCACAAGGGCACAGACAAGUUAGAAAGGGCAUAGGGAAGGGCAAUUGAAAUGAUGAAGAGAAUGCAACGUGUCUUUUGAGAAGACAAAAAACCUGUGAGAGUGCUGUUUCAGAAGAGAAGGCAGAGAGGAAUGUAGUUGAGGUUUAUUGUGUCAUAAAGGCAGCAGGAAAGGAGAGCAGAGAACUCCUCAUCAACCCCACAGCACUGGAACUAAUGCAAGCUCAAUAGAACCAGUAGGGGAUUGGUUUAAAUAAAGAUAAAAGGAAAUACUUGAUUACACAGCAGACACUGGACUUCUGGAAUUCCCUACCAAAGAAGCUCAUAAAGGGAAAGGUGGCUAUUGCUCAGUUCUUGCAGCUCAAAAAUAAUCUUCUCAAAGCUCUACAUCACCAGUGUAAUGCACCAAAUCCACAAGGACACAAGGUCACAGAGAGCCUGAACCUGAAUCCGUGGGCUGAGUUACAUCUCCUGCCUGUGUCAUUCUUCGAGUAGCACUGUGACUGACAGCCUCAGGCAAGACUGCAUUUCCAUUUUCAGCUAAAAUCUCAAGAAUUCUCAGAGACUUCUGCAGCAUCUUCUGAAGCUUACAGAAAGAAGUCUGAACAGUUACAGACUGCUUGGAUGGUUAAAUUAUCUUGCAUUUGGUGACAUUUUAGCAACAUAUCACAGGUGUAGAGGCUUUGGCCAGCUCAAAGAAAUACUUUUUUCAGAAGAAUACCUAACAUACAACACCCUUGGAAUGAAAUCUAAUAACUAGAUGAUACCAGACCAUCCCUUUCCUUAUGUUUAAAAAAAAAUCUCUUACAGAUAACAUCUCUUCAUAUUUAAU